GAUUGGCAGCCUCGCCCCCAGGCCUCAGGCCCUCCCUGGCUUGAAGGUGAGGCUUCACCAGAGACCAGCCUCCUUCUGCCCAGGAGCCUGUCUGCCUUCUGCCACUAUUCAUGGCACCCAGGCUGUUCAUGCCAAGUGGGGCCUGCAGGCCAGUGCUGAGCUGUCCUCAGCACCCUCUUAGCCUCCGUCUCUUGCUUGUCAGCACCCAAAGUCCAGAGGUGACUCUGGCGGCGGGGAUGGGUGAGUCAGCGCUGCCCCCCUAAGCAUGUGCACAACCUGGUGGUCUGUGACAGCGCCCAGCAUUGGCCGCGACUUUUCUCCAAGAUCCAAGAAGGUAGAGACAGCGGGGAGAAGCCAGGCAGCGGAAGCAGGCGUUUCCAACCCGGAAGCCCACUCAAGACAAGAAUGAAGGCCUUUGUGAUUACCCACU
rnacentral:lncRNA from 10 species